rnacentral:misc_RNA from 1 species
GAAAUGCGAUAAGUAAUGUGAAUUGCAGAAUUCAGUGAAUCAUCGAAUCUUUGAACGCAUCUUGCGCUCCUUGGUAUUCCUUGGAGCAUGCCUGUUUGAGUAUCAUGAAAUCUUCAAAGUAAAUCUUUUGUUAACUCAAUUGGUUUCUACUUUGGUAUUGGAGGUCUUUGCAGCUUCACACCUGCUCCUCUUUGUUCAUUAGCUGGAUCUCAGUGUUAUGCUUGGUUCCACUCGGCGUGAUAAGUUAUCUAUCGCUGAGGACACUGUAAAAGGUGGCCAAGGUAAAUGCAGAUGAACCGCUUCUAAUAGUCCAUUGACUUGGACAAUACUUUUAUGAUCUGAUCUCAAAUCAGGUAGGACUACCCGCAGAACUUAAGC